GACGAACGCUGGCGGCGUGCUUAACACAUGCAAGUCGAACGCUGAAGCCCAGCUUGCUGGGUGGAUGAGUGGCGAACGGGUGAGUAACACGUGAGUAACCUGCCCCCUUCUUUGGGAUAACGCCCGGAAACGGGUGCUAAUACUGGAUAUUCACUGGCCUUCGCAUGGGGGUUGGUGGAAAGGUUUUUUCUGGUGGGGGAUGGGCUCGCGGCCUAUCAGCUUGUUGGUGGGGUGAUGGCCUACCAAGGCUUUGACGGGUAGCCGGCCUGAGAGGGUGACCGGUCACAUUGGGACUGAGAUACGGCCCAGACUCCUACGGGAGGCAGCAGUGGGGAAUAUUGCACAAUGGGCGAAAGCCUGAUGCAGCGACGCCGCGUGAGGGAUGACGGCCUUCGGGUUGUAAACCUCUUUCGCUCAUGGUCAAGCCGCAGCUUUGGGUUGUGGUGAGGGUAGUGGGUAAAGAAGCGCCGGCUAACUACGUGCCAGCAGCCGCGGUAAUACGUAGGGCGCGAGCGUUGUCCGGAAUUAUUGGGCGUAAAGGGCUGGUCGGGGGGCUGGUCCCGUCUGCCAGAAAACCUCUGGCUUAACUGGGGGUGUGCGUGGGUUAUCGGUUACUUUAAUGCGUUGGGGGAGACUGGAACUCCUGGGGUGGACAUGUAAUGUCAUAUAAUCAACAGAACACCGCGGCAAGAGGGCUCUUGGGCGAUUUUUACUGAGAGUGAG
rnacentral:rRNA from 1 species